UGCCAGCCGCCGCGGUAAUACGGAGGGGGCUAGCGUUGUUCGGAAUUACUGGGCGUAAAGCGCGCGUAGGCGGGCUGGUCAGUUGGGGGUGAAAUCCCGAGGCUCAACCUCGGAACUGCCCUCAAUACUACCAGUCUAGAGUUCGGGAGAGGUGAGUGGAAUUCCUAGUGUAGAGGUGAAAUUCGUAGAUAUUAGGAAGAACACCAGUGGCGAAGGCGGCUCACUGGCCCGAUACUGACGCUGAGGUGCGAAAGCGUGGGGAGCAAACAGGAUUAGAUA
rnacentral:rRNA from 1 species